rnacentral:rRNA from 1 species
AAAAAGCUCGUAGUUGGAUUUCUGUUGAGGACGGUCGGUCCGCACUAUGUGCGUGUAUCUGAUUCGGCCUUGGCAUCCUCUUGAGGAACGUUACUGCGCUUGAUUGCGUGGUGCGGUAUUCAAGACUUUUACUUUGAGGAAAUUAGAGUGUUCACGGCAGGCAAGCGCCUUGAAUACAUUAGCAUGGAAUAAUAAUAUAGGAUCUUGGUUCUAUUUUGUUGGUUUCUAGAGCUAGGGUAAUGAUUAAUAGGGAUAAUUGGGGGCAUUUGUAUUAACACGUCAGAGGUGGAAUUCUUAGAUUGUGUUACGACAAACUACUGCGAAAGCAUUUGCCAAGGAUGUUUUCAUUGAUCAAGAACGAAAGUAUGGGGAUCGAAGAUGAUUAGAUACCGUCGUAGUCUAUACCAUAAACUAUGCCGACUAAAGAUUGGAGGUCGUUCUUUUACUGACUCCUUCAGCAUUUUAUGAGAAAUCAAAGUCUUUGGGUUCCGGGGGGAGUAUAGUCGCAAGGCUGAAACUUAAAGGAAUUGACGGAAGGGCACCACCAGGAGUGGAGCCUGCG